GGAUCCAGACUUUGAUCCUGGCUCAGGAUGAACGCUAGCUACAGGCUUAACACAUGCAAGUCGAGGGGCAGCGGUAUCGGAAGCUUGCUUUCGGUAGCCGGCGACCGGCGCACGGGUGAGUAACGCGUAUCGAACCUGCCUCAUACUCGGGAAUAGCCUUGCGAAAGUAAGAUUAAUGCCCGGUGUUUUCAGAGUCCCGCAUGAGGCUUUGAACAAAGAUUUAUCGGUAUGAGAUGGCGAUGCGUCCCAUUAGCUUGUUGGCGGGGUAACGGCCCACCAAGGCAUCGAUGGGUAGGGGUUCUGAGAGGAAGGUCCCCCACAUUGGAACUGAGACACGGUCCAAACUCCUACGAGAGGCAGCAGUGAGGAAUAUUGGUCAAUGGGCGGAAGCCUGAACCAGCCAAGUAGCGUGCAGGAAGACGGCCCUCCGGGUUGUAAACUGCUUUUAGUUGGGAAUAAAACGGGGCUCGUGAGCCCCCUUGCAUGUACCAUCAGAAAAAGGACCGGCUAAUUCCGUGCCAGCAGCCGCGGUAAUACGGAAGGUCCGGGCGUUAUCCGGAUUUAUUGGGUUUAAAGGGAGCGCAGGCGGACCUUUAAGUCAGCUGUGAAAUACGGCGGCUCAACCGUCGAACUGCAGUUGAUACUGGAGGUCUUGAGUGCACACAGGGAUGCUGGAAUUCAUGGUGUAGCGGUGAAAUGCUCAGAUAUCAUGAAGAACUCCGAUCGCGAAGGCAGGCAUCCGGGGUGCAACUGACGCUGAGGCUCGAAAGUGCGGGUAUCAAACAGGAUUAGAUACCCUGGUAGUCCGCACAGUAAACGAUGAAUACUCGCGGUUUGCGAUACAGUGUAAGCCGCCAAGCGAAAGCGUUAAGUAUUCCACCUGGGGAGUACGCCGGCAACGGUGCAACUCAAAGGAAUUGACGG
rnacentral:rRNA from 1 species